rnacentral:rRNA from 1 species
UGGGGAAUAUUGCACAAUGGUGGGAACUCUUAUGCAGCGACGCUGCGUGAGUGAUGAAGGACUUUGUUUCGUAAAACUCUGUUCUAUGGGAAGAAAAGGACUGUACCAUAGGAGAAAGCUCCGGCUAAAUACGUGCCAGCAGCCGCGGUAAUACGUAUGGAGCGAGCGUUGUCCGGAAUUAUUGGGCGUAAAGGGUGCGCAGGCGGCUUUACAAGUUGGAUGUGAAAUAUUGUGGCUCAACCACAAACGUGCAUCCAAAACUGCAAAGCUUGAGUUAAGGAGAGGUAAGUGGAAUUCCUGGUGUAGCGGUGGAAUGCGUAGAUAUCAGGAGGAAUACCGGUGGCGAAGGCAACUUACUGAACAUAAACUGACGCUCAGGCACGAAAGCGUGGGGAGCAAACAGG